AUUGAACGCUGGCGGAAUGCUUUACACAUGCAAGUCGAACGGUAGAGGGGGCAACCCCUCGAGAGUGGCGAACGGGUGAGUAAUAUAUCGGAACGUGCCCAGUCGUGGGGGAUAACGUAGCGAAAGUUACGCUAAUACCGCAUACGAUCUAAGGAUGAAAGCGGGGGAUCGCAAGACCUCGCGCGAUUGGAGCGGUCGAUAUCAGAUUAGGUAGUUGGUGGGGUAAAGGCUCACCAAGCCAACGAUCUGUAGCUGGUCUGAGAGGACGACCAGCCACACUGGAACUGAGACACGGUCCAGACUCCUACGGGAGGCAGCAGUGGGGAAUUUUGGACAAUGGACGCAAGUCUGAUUCAGCCAUUCCGCGUGCAGGAUGAAGGCCCUCGGGUUGUAAACUGCUUUUGUACGGAACGAAAAGGUCUCUCUUAAUACGGGGGACUCAUGACGGUACCGUAAGAAUAAGCACCGGCUAACUACGUGCCAGCCGCCGCGGUAA
rnacentral:rRNA from 1 species